rnacentral:misc_RNA from 1 species
UUCUAUAUCACCGGCGCAUUCCACUCCCAUGAUGAACGGGGUUUUCGGCAGAGAAUCUAUGGCGCCCUGACGAGCCAUCAAGUCUUGGAAAUUCAAACCACUGGAACAUCGAUAAGAAAAAAAGGUACGUAUCGGGGGAUCGAAGAGGAUCGGGAUCGGAAUCAGGAGGAAAGGCAAUUUGAGGUCCCAUAAUACAUGGGUGUUUACAUAAACAAAUAUAAAAACUGGGAACACGUUAUUGCAGGUUGUACGGCGAUUAUUGCGUGGCUGCAACUUUCCUCUCGCCAGCUAGGCGAUAAGAUUCCACGCGCACAUCCAUGCGUUGAGAGAUAUGGCAUACGUGUAGAUACAGUUGCGGUGUAUCUGAAUUAUACAAAGGAUGAGAAAAGCCCGCAUGCCUUAUCAAGAAUCGGAAGACCCCUCGUAGUUCGACGUCGCGUGAGACGCCACUUACAGCGUACAACACUCGAGGGUCUGGCGUCUGGGCGUCGCGACGUCUGUGCACAACGUACUCUACAUACAUCCUAGGUAUACACGUACACCGUAUAUUUUUAUAUAUAUAUAUAUACACCAGGAAUUAUGUGCACAACUCAGAGAGACGCGAGUCCCUCUCUUCCCUAUGUCAUUCCAAGAUUUUCGUUCGUUCGUAGCGCAACCCCGAAAAUGAAAUCAGUAAUCCAUUUCCAUUUCCGGCGUAUAAAAAAUUGCGCCUAAAAAUGAAAAGGCGUCGAGCUAAAUGAUUCUUCUCAAUUAAAAUUGUCGAGAAAACGAUGACGACCGUUUAUCGAUCCUCAGUAGCGUACCAGGUGACCCAAAAAGAUAUGGCGAAUAUCCAUACUCGUUCGUAUUUCAUAUUCAAUAUUCAUUUGGCAAACUUUGGCGACAACGUGCGUCCUAGUUUUUUUAAACCGUGUAGUUAGAAAAAUAAGAAAGAAAAGUAAAACGGGGUAAAGGGUUGGGUAUAUAUAUAUUAAUACAAAGUAGGUAAUUUAUUCCUCAUUUCCUACGGAAUUAGAUCAAGGCCGGCUAGGCUACUUUAUGUAUAUUCCAUUCAGACCUAAUCGCGAUUUGCCCGAACGAAUUUUCGUACAACAUUCGCGCGUACCCCUCAUAACUUAUUCUGCAACUCCUCUCUUCGAGUUGCGAAUAAAGCCUCCAGUCUCAUCCCCCAAGACGGAGAAUACGAACGAAAUAUAUUAUCGAUGUGGAAAUACACGGAGAUGGACGAGAAGAAAAAAAAAAUAACAAUUUCAUCGUUGCCCAAAAAAAUAUCGUCUCGGUCGUCGACUCCCCCGAAAAU